UGAUAAAGUUAACGCAAAUCCUGGCCAUGAUGAUGAUUGCAUAAAAAGAGAGACAAUCAUUGACAAAAUGAUAGCACUACUAACUUCAAUCUCUAACCAUCUAGGAAAAACAUUCGUUGCCUGCUUUAGUAAAGUUUAUCAUCAUUAUAAACAUCACCAUCUAAUUUCAACUCUUAUCUUUUUCUUUCCCCUCAUUCAACAUAUUGCAGUUAGAUGGCCAAACGGGCGAAACCAAGGGUCCAUGAUGGAGUUAUAAAGCAAGAUAAAGGAAAGGCUUAGCACAUGAUUUGAGAUUUCAAGAUUAGAAUGAUGAUGAAUGGACGGAUGAAGUCGACGUAGGAAAUGCAUGACUUGCAUGGAAAGUUAGAGCAUUGUACACUUUUGCUUUAUCAGUCUAUAGUUACCCUAUAAAUUAGUCGAGACAAGUAGGUGACAUAUUCGUUGCUUGCUAGGGUCUUAUUAGAUCUCUCAAGUCCGUAAAGUUUGGCUUCACUUUGCCUUUCGUAAUAAGACAAAAGCAAUAUUCUGUCA